rnacentral:rRNA from 1 species
GUCCAGACUCCUACGGGAGGCAGCAGUGGGGAAUAUUGCACAAUGGGGGAAACCCUGAUGCAGCGACGCCGCGUGAGCGAUGAAGUAUUUCGGUAUGUAAAGCUCUCUCAGCAGGGAAGAAGAUGACGGUACCUGACUAAGAAGCCCCGGCUAACUACGUGCCAGCAGCCGCGGUAAUACGUAGGGGGCAAGCGUUAUCCGGAUUUACUGGGUGUAAAGGGAGCGUAGACGGCGAUGCAAGCCAGAUGUGAAAGCCCGGGGCUCAACCCCGGGACUGCAUUUGGAACUGUGUGGCUGGAGUGUCGGAGAGGCAGGCGGAAUUCCUAGUGUAGCGGUGAAAUGCGUAGAUAUUAGGAGGAACACCAGUGGCGAAGGCGGCCUGCUGGACGAUGACUGACGUUGAGGCUCGAAAGCGUGGGGAGCAAACAGGAUUAGAUACCCCCGUAAA